rnacentral:rRNA from 1 species
AUUGAACGCUGGCGACAUGCCUUACACAUGCAAGUCGAACGGCAGCACGGGGCAACCUGGUGGCGAGUGGCGAACGGGUGAGUAAUGCAUCGGAACGUACCUUUCAGUGGGGGAUAACGUAGCGAAAGUUACGCUAAUACCGCAUAUUCUGUGAGAAGGAAAGCAGGGGAUCGCAAGACCUUGCGCUGAUUGAGCGGCCGAUGUCAGAUUAGCGAAUUGGUGAGGUAAAGGGUCACAAAGGCGACGAUCUGUAGCGGGUAUGAGAGGAUGAUUCGCCACACUGUAACUGAGACACGGUCCAGACUCCUACGAGAGGCCGCAGUGGGGAACUUUUGAAAAUGGGGUCAACCCUGAUCCAGCCAUGCCGCGUGAGUGAAGAAGGCCUUCGUGUUGUAAAGCUCUUUCGGCCGGGAAGAAAUCGCACGGGCUAAUACCCUGUGUGGAUGACGGUACCGGAAUAAGAAGCACCGUCUAACUACGUGCCAGCCGCCGCCGUAA